rnacentral:rRNA from 1 species
AGCGAACGCUGGCGGCAGGCCUAACACAUGCAAGUCGAACGAACUCUUCGGAGUUAGUGGCGGACGGGUGAGUAACACGUGGGAACGUGCCUUUUGGUUCGGAAUAACUCAGGGAAACUUGUGCUAAUACCGAAUGUGCCCUUCGGGGGAAAGAUUUAUCGCCAUUAGAGCGGCCCGCGUCUGAUUAGCUAGUUGGUGAGGUAACGGCUCACCAAGGCGACGAUCAGUAGCUGGUCUGAGAGGAUGACCAGCCGCACUGGGACUGAGACACGGCCCAGACUCCUACGGGAGGCAGCAGUGGGGAAUCUUGCGCAAUGGGCGAAAGCCUGACGCAGCCAUGCCGCGUGAAUGAUGAAGGUCUUAGGAUUGUAAAAUUCUUUCACCGGGGACGAUAAUGACGGUACCCGGAGAAGAAGCCCCGGCUAACUUCGUG